rnacentral:misc_RNA from 1 species
AUUCAACCCAAUCGAUAAUCCCCGGAACCACUUUUAUCGGGUUUUUUCCAUACUUUUCCGGCGAUUCUCCGGCGAGUUAGCACACCGUCCGUUCGAAUCUACGCUAUUUUUUCGUCCUUUGAAUAUGUUUCGAUUGGAUGCAUGAUCAUGAGUCUCUGACUACUGCAUCUAGUCAGGUGGUUACAUAUCCUUCUGUGUCCCAUAUGCUGAGGAGUUGAUUGAAAGAUUGAUAGCUUCUUGGAGGUUAGUAUUAUGGGAUCCAGUCG